CUUCACCAAAUGGCAAACUUAGGCCAUGUUUGGUUAAAUGUAAUGGCAUAACCAUAAACAAGUAUUUGGUUCAAUGGAAUGCCUUAUUACGGGCUUAUUCCAUUACGGGUCUAUGCAAUGAAAUGGUCUAAUUUCUAUUCCGUUUCCUCACCACCAGUUACUGAUUCGAUGCUUAAGGAGGCCAUCACCAUAAAAAUGCUCCCGACUUUACCCCCACCCACUUUCUCACCUCCAAAAAGCUAUCACGUAGCCAGAUAGUCACUCAUUUACUUCUUUCGACUCCGGCUAUAACACUCUCCAUCUUAAUCACAACGUCCUUUAGUUUGGUAAGACUUGGGAAGGCCUAAAUGUGCUGGAAAAACUGUGCAAAAAAAGUAGUUGGAAUAUUUGAAGUCUUGAGAAUUUAGAUAUGAAGAAAGCUUGUUCCAUUCAGGGACCAGUUUGAGAGGAAUUCACCUUUUCCACUACGUCUUCUCCAUUCAAAACUUUUCAUUCCUUGACUAUUAUUAAGGUCAUGCCUCUACUAUUGACAUUAUAUAUUUAUGUUAUCAGAUGAAGAUUGAUUUUCAAUUCAAUGAGUGCAUUCUCUUGGCAUCAAUGGUAUAAUAUGUGUAUGUAUCUGUUGAGUUGGACCUUGCAAAUCAAGUAUUGCAGCACCAAGGCAUCUUAUUCUUUUUCCUUGAGAUAGGCAAUGUAACAGCUCGAUGUAGACCCUGAUCAGAAUGGUGGUUUCGGGACCACGAAUCCGAGUCAAAAAAUAUUUUUAAAUUAUUUUACGUGUUUAUUUUGUGUGAAUUUAUAUCUGUGAAAUUUUCGUGAUUUAA